UUAUCCUCUAGACGGUCACAGUGAGAUGGAGCCAAUCUCAGCUGGACACUGGUUGAGAGGAAGGGGCUGUUGGGCUCUUGGGAAUAAAAGUGAUCAUGCAGAACAUCAAGUCGCAACUCAGGAAGGGGAGAUUCUUGCUACGGCUGUUUAGUCAAAAAAUUGACACAAGAAAGGAAGUUGUGGUGUUACAAAGAGCCCCGACAGAAAAAAACAUCAGGAUGUUGCUGAAAAGAUGUAAACUGGUGAAAUCCUGUACACAGUGGACAUACUGUACUAGCUGGACUGGCUUUUCUGAAUAUUAAUGGAUAUUCUUUUUGUCUUGCAAAGUGCCACUUCAGAUCACAACACUAAAACUGAACUUGCAGCAAUUAACGUCAAAAAAUGCUGGCACAAGUUGCCACAUUAAAAUAAGUAAAAUGACCUCUUGUUCCAUUCUGAGAUAUUCCCAUUUCAAGAUGUAAUAACUGAAUGUUUUUUUUUACUUUAGCACUUUCAGUUUCAAAUAAAUGGGUUAAAUAAUGGGUACAGUUUCCACAAAGAAAAUCCUCUAUAUUGUACAGCUGUUCAAUGUUUGUUUGACAGUGUUUUCACUUUAUAGAAAUUAAUCUUUCAUUUUAAUUUUGUGAACAAAUUUGUUUUAAAUCUGUAUUUACUCACUCUCGAAAGGCAAAUUUCCUCAUGGAAGUUACAGAACUUGGUACCAAUUGAUAUUAUCAAACGUUUAUUAAUUUCUAGUAAAUAUUACCUUUUUGAGUAUUUCAGUGUUUACAUGCAACUUGUGCAAUAUGUGAGCAAAUCUUUUCAUUUUAGCUGUUCAGUAAUUAUUAUAAUAAGUUUAUUAUGAUUUUGUAUGUUUAUCAUUUGUUCUAAAUGAUGUUGGCAAUCUGUGCAGUUGUCAUAUAGCUGCCAGGUCAGCCAGAUGAUCAUAAUUCUAUUUUAUAUAUCCCUUUAUGAUUAAAUGAUUAACACGAUUUAAAUCCCCAUGUUAUGUUUUUUAUUUUUGUGCAUUUCCCUUUUGAUG